AUACGGAGGGUGCAAGCGUUAUUCGGAAUCACUGGGCGUAAAGGACGCGUAGGCGGGUUGGCAAGUCAGAUGUGAAAUCCUACAGCUUAACUGUAGAACUGCAUUUGAAACUGCUAACCUUGAGUAUGGGAGGGGGAGAUGGAAUUAGUGGUGUAGGGGUAAAAUCCGUAGAUAUCACUAGGAAUACCGAAAGCGAAGGCGAUCUCCUGGAACAUAACUGACGCUAAGGCGUGAAAGCGUGGGGAGCAAACGGGAUUAGAUACCCGAGUAGUCC
rnacentral:rRNA from 1 species